UGGAGUGUAGCUCAAUGGUAGAGCCUGCGGCUGUUAACCGCAUUGUUGUAGGUUCGAGUCCUACCAUUCCAG
rnacentral:tRNA from 1 species